rnacentral:rRNA from 1 species
ACGCUCGACACCUACGGGGGCAGCAGUUGGGAAUAUUGGACAAUGGAGGAAACUCUGAUCCAGUGACGCCGCGUGAAGGAAGAAGGUCUUCGGAUUGUAAACUUAUUUUGUCAGGGAAGAAAAAAUGACUGUACCUGAAGAAAAGGCACCGGCUAACUACGUGCCAGCAGCCGCGGUAAUCUGAGGCGGGCUGGCAAGGC